UAGGGAAUCUUCCGCAAUGGACGCAAGUCUGACGGAGCAACGCCGCGUGAGUGAAGAAGGAUUUCGGUUCGUAAAACUCUGUUGUUAGAGAAGAACAGCGCAUAGAGUAACUGUUAUGCGUGUGACGGUAUCUAACCAGAAAGCCACGGCUAACUACGUGCCAGCAGCCGCGGUAAUACGUAGGUGGCAAGCGUUGUCCGGAUUUAUUGGGCGUAAAGCGAGCGCAGGCGGUCAAUUAAGUCUGAUGUGAAAGCCCCCGGCUCAACCGGGGAGGGUCAUUGGAAACUGGUGGACUUGAGUGCAGAAGAGGGGAGUGGAAUUCCAUGUGUAGCGGUGAAAUGCGUAGAUAUAUGGAGGAACACCAGUGGCGAAGGCGACUCUCUGGUCUGUAACUGACGCUGAGGCUCGAAAGCGUGGGUAGCAAACAGG
rnacentral:rRNA from 1 species